GCCUACGUGGAGUAGACCUCACUCGCUCUUUGGGUUAGAGCAAAGGACUGAAAAUCCUUGUGUCAGUGGUUCGAAUCCACUUCUAAGCG
rnacentral:tRNA from 1 species